rnacentral:rRNA from 1 species
UACGUAGGGUGCAAGCGUUGUUCGGAAUUACUGGGUGUAAAGGGUUCGUAGGCGGUGUAGCAAGUCGGGAGUGAAAUCUCUGGGCUUAACCCAGAGGCUGCUUCCGAAACUGCUGUGCUUGAGUGUGGGAGAGGCGCGUGGAAUUGCAGGUGUAGCGGUGAAAUGCGUAGAUAUCUGCAGGAACACCCGUGGCGAAAGCGGCGCGCUGGACCACUACUGACGCUGAGGAACGAAAGCUAGGGGAGCAAACAGG